rnacentral:rRNA from 1 species
UGAGUAACGCGUGAGGAACCUGCCUUUCGAGGGGGACAACAGUUGGAAACGACUGCUAAUACGGCAUGAUACAUCGAAGCCGCAUGGCUUUGAUGUCAAAGAUUUAUCGCCGAAAGAUGGCCUCGCGUCUGAUUAGCUUGUUGGUGAGGUAACGGCUCACCAAAGCGACGAUCAGUAGCCGGACUGAGAGGUUGGCCGGCCACAUUGGGACUGAGAUACGGCCCAGACUCCUACGGGAGGCAGCAG